rnacentral:rRNA from 1 species
GAUAGAGGGUGCAAACGUUGUUCGGAAUUACUGGGCGUAAAGGGCGCGUAGGCGGCACUGUUAGUCAGGCGUGAAAGUCCUGGGCUCAACCUGGGAACUGCGCUUGAUACGGCAGAGCUAGAGGAUGGAAGAGGGUCGCGGAAUUCCCAGUGUAGAGGUGAAAAUUCGUAGAUAUUGGGAAGAACACCGGGUGGCGAAGGCGGCGACCUGGUCCAUUACUGACGGCUGAGGCGCGACAGCGUGGGG